GACCAAUUGAAGGGGUGGUUCUUCUUCUUCCUCGUCUCAGGGCUGCCAUACACAUUACACUCUCCAGACCCCACUUGUGGGAUUACAAUGGGUAUGUUGUUGCAUAUUUUGGCCGUUUUCUGUAUUGAGUUACAAGGUCUAUUUUAUAUUAAUUUGGAAAGCAAAAUGUCGAUACUA